rnacentral:rRNA from 1 species
UGGGGGAUAUUGCACAAUGGGCGAAAGCCUGAUGCAGCGACGCCGCGUGGGGGAUGAAGGCCUUCGGGUUGUAAAUUUCUUUUGCUCUGAACAAGGCAUGCUAAUGGGUGUGUUGAGUGUAGGGGUUGAUUAGCGCCGGCUAACUACGUGCCAGCAGCCGCGGUAAUACGUAGGGCGCGAGCGUUGUCCGGAAUUAUUGGGCGUAAAGGGCUUGUAGGUGGCUGGUUGCGUCUGUCGUGAAAGCUCAUGGCUUAACUGUGGGUUUGCGGUGGGUACGGGCUGGCUUGAGUGCAGUAGGGGAGGCUGGAAUUCCUGGUGUGGCGGUGGGAUGAGCAGAUAUCAGGAGGAAUACCGGUGGCGAAGGCGGGUCUCUGGGCUGUUACUGACACUGAGGAGCGAAAGCAUGGGGAGCGAACAGA